CAGUCGCCACGGUAAUACGGAGGGGGCUAGCGUUGUUCGGAAUUACUGGGCGUAAAGCGUACGUAGGCGGUUUUGUAAGUUAGAGGUGAAAGCCCGGAGCUCAACUCCGGAAUUGCCUUUAAGACUGCAUCACUUGAACGUCGGAGAGGUGAGUGGAAUUCCGAGUGUAGAGGUGAAAUUCGUAGAUAUUCGGAAGAACACCAGUGGCGAAGGCGGCUCACUGGACGACUGUUGACGCUGAGGUACGAAAGCGUGGGGAGCAAACAGGAUUAGAUACCCCAGUAGUCCCUGUCUCUUAUAC
rnacentral:rRNA from 1 species